UACGUAGGGUGCAAGCGUUAUCCGGAAUUAUUGGGCGUAAAGAGCUCGUAGGCGGUUUGUCGCGUCGUCCGUGAAAACCUGCAGCUCAACUGCAGGCUUGCGGUCGAUACGGGCAGGCUAGAGUUCGGUAGGGGAGACUGGAAUUCCUGGUGUAGCGGUGAAAUGCGCAGAUAUCAGGAGGAACACCGGUGGCGAAGGCGGGUCUCUGGGCAGUAACUGACGCUGAGGAGCGAAAGCGUGGGGAGCGAACAGG
rnacentral:rRNA from 1 species